rnacentral:lncRNA from 1 species
AUCGAACUUAUAUAGCUAAAUGCUGUAAGACCACCCCCCUUGAUGGAGAUUUCACUCAACAAUGGGUAUCGGAAAGGAGGUUCCUUUUCUAGAAACGAAACCUUGUUGACAGAACACAAAAUCAUUUGUGUUCCCAGGAAGUAGGGGAGUCAAAAGGACUACUUAAAUCCCUACAACCUUAGGAAUCAUUUCUUUAUAAUACCC